rnacentral:piRNA from 1 species
UCCGUGGUGUGCACUGGAAGAUCUCCAU